UAAUACGAAGGGUGCAAGCGUUAAUCGGAAUUACUGGGCGUAAAGCGUGCGUAGGUGGUCUUUUAAGUCCGUUGUGAAAGCCCUGGGCUCAACCUGGGAAUGGCAGUGGAUACUGGAAGGCUGGAGUACGGUAGAGGAGGGUGGAAUUCCCGGUGUAGCGGUGAAAUGCGUAGAGAUCGGGAGGAACAUCAGUGGCGAAGGCGGCCCUCUGGACCAGUACUGACGCUGAGGCACGAAAGCGUGGGGAGCAAACAGGAUUAGAUACCCUGGUAGUCCACGCCCUAAACGAUGCGAACUGGACGUUGGUCACAACUCGGUGAUCAGUGUCGAAGCUAACGCGUUAAGUUCGCCGCCUGGGGAGUACGCUCGCAAGAGUG
rnacentral:rRNA from 1 species